rnacentral:rRNA from 1 species
UCCUACGGGGCGCAGCAGUAGGGAAUAUUGCUCAAUGGGGGAAACCCUGAAGCAGCAACGCCGCGUGGAGGAUGAAGGUUUUCGGAUUGUAAACUCCUUUUGUUAGAGAAGAUAAUGACGGUAUCUAACGAAUAAGCACCGGCUAACUCCGUGCCAGCAGCCGCGGUAAUACGGAGGGUGCAAGCGUUACUCGGAAUCACUGGGCGUAAAGAGCGCGUAGGCGGCUUUUCAAGUCAGGGGUGAAAUCCCACGGCCCAACCGUGGAACUGCCUUUGAAACUGUAGAGCUUGAGUGUCGGAGAGGGG